UGGAAACCAGAACAUCCACCAGUUUCCACACCCAAGCGAAGCAUUUUUUCAUCAGUCAACCCUUCACAGGCUUGCAGUUCCUUCAACCUCCGGACGCAAUUGUCAGUCAAGUGAAUAGCUUCAUCGAGCGAAGGGGAAGGGGAUGGAGAAGUUUCGCAAAGGGCAGAAGAGGAGUUCAGCAGCCUGUGAUUUUGGCGAAUCCGAGAGGUGAAGAAGGGUGUUACGCGAUGGAUUAACGAUGAUCUCGACAUGGCCUUUGUUGGGUUUAUUUCAGCUUUUUCUUGUUCCUAAUAAAGUACCAUUCUUGCGUAGAAAUAGCUAUGCUUGGUCUCUGGGUUCUGUUAGACCAGGAAUCUGGGACUGCUGAGAAAGGAAGCUUGUGCUUGCCCAACUGCCGUACACCACAUCCGCCUCACUUGCUUCCC
rnacentral:misc_RNA from 1 species